rnacentral:rRNA from 1 species
AACACAUGCAAGUCGAACGGGAGAUGAGGAGCUUGCUCUUCAAAUCGAGUGGCGAACGGGUGAGUAACGCGUAGGUAACCUGCCUUGUAGCGGGGGAUAACUAUUGGAAACGAUAGCUAAUACCGCAUAACAAUGGAUGACACAUGUCAUUUAUUUGAAAGGGGCAAUUGCUCCACUACAAGAUGGACCUGCGUUGUAUUAGCCAGUAGGUGAGGUAACGGCUCACCUAGGCGACGAUACAUAGCCGACCUGAGAGGGUGAUCGGCCACACUGGGACUGAGACACGGCCCAGACUCCUACGGGAGGCAGCAGUAGGGAAUCUUCGGCAAUGGGGGCAACCCUGACCGAGCAACGCCGCGUGAGUGAAGAAGGUUUUCGGAUCGUAAAGCUCUGUUGUAAGAGAAGAACGAGUGUGAGAGUGGAAAGUUCACACUGUGACGGUAACUUACCAGAAAGGGACGGCUAACUACGUGCCAGCAGCCGCGGUAAUACGUAGGUCCCGAGCGUUAUCCGGAUUUAUUGGGCGUAAAGCGAGCGCAGGCGGUUAGAUAAGUCUGAAGUUAAAGGCUGUGGCUUAACCAUAGUACGCUUUGGAAACUGUUUAACUUGAGUGCAGAAGGGGAGAGUGGAAUUCCAUGUGUAGCGGUGAAAUGCGUAGAUAUAUGGAGGAACACCGGUGGCGAAAGCGGCUCUCUGGU